GUUCGCUUCAGCAGCACAUACACUAAAAUUGGAAUGAUACAGAGAAGAUUAGCAUGGCCCCUGCGCAAGGAUGACACACAAAUUCGUGACGCUUCCAUAUUUUU
ensembl:snRNA Rnu6-480 RNA, U6 small nuclear 480